rnacentral:ncRNA from 1 species
UAUGAGGUGGAAUCUGAAGGAAGGUGCAGGCAAAUCUCUGACCUGACGAACAGAAAUCGUAUGAGGCCAAUUUGGGAUGGAUACGGCCUCCAAACAGACCGAAAUCCUAUAACGACUUGGAAACCCAAAGGGUAGAUGCGGAAGGUACAUGGAGAGAAAGAGU